UACGUAGGGUGCGAGCGUUAAUCGGAAUUACUGGGCGUAAAGCGUGCGCAGGCGGUUUUGUAAGUCUGACGUGAAAUCCCCGGGCUUAACCUGGGAAUUGCGUUUGGAGACUGCAAGGCUGGAGUCUGGCAGAGGGGGGGUAGAAUUCCACGUGUAGCAGUGAAAUGCGUAGAGAUGUGGAGGAACACCGAUGGCGAAGGCAGCCCCCUGGGUCAAGACUGACGCUCAUGCACGAAAGCUGGGGAGCAAACAGG
rnacentral:rRNA from 1 species